UUCUCCGCAUGGCUGGGUGGCAGCAAGGCUUUGCACUUGCCCAAGAGACACGUAAUAGAGACCGUGGGUCUUAAUUUCAUAAGCAUCACUGCAUUCGUUGUCCUGUGCAACAUGCUGGGACACCACAUAACUGAUGUUGCACAGGCCACUCAUCUGGAGGUCCGGAAGUAGAUGGAGCGUGACAGCCUGACAAGGGAAGUACCGGCCACCUGACAAAUUUAGGUCCCUGCCAUCCUGACAAACAUGUCUCGCCCCAGUUCCCACAAGAAAACUUCUUGCUUCAUCUGA